rnacentral:rRNA from 1 species
AUGGAAGACAUAGUAACAAAUAGAAUUAGUCAACGGGGCUUGGUCUGCUCCGGUUUCUUCAUCUCCUCGGACGCCUGCAUGCUCGCCGUGGGCAGGCCGCCGCCGUCGCUGGCGUCUCUUCCUCCUCGGCCAUCACAUCUGGUGUAUGGUUUGCGAUCGCGCGGUCGUGGACGCGCCGUCGCCUCCUGGGGCGUUCCUUCUGGAUCCCUCCUGGUGCCUCCUGGUGCGAGGCCUCCCUGCCCAAGUGGUGUUUGUGGACCCUUGUACGUGUAUGUGGUUCCUCGCCUGAUACACAAGAGAGAUAGAUGA